GUGGGGAAUAUUGGACAAUGGGGGGAACCCUGAUCCAGCCAUGCCGCGUGUGUGAAGAAGGCCUUUUGGUUGUAAAGCACUUUAAGCGAGGAGGAGGCUACCGAGAUUAAUACUCUUGGAUAGUGGACGUUACUCGCAGAAUAAGCACCGGCUAACUCUGUGCCAGCAGCCGCGGUAAUACAGAGGGUGCAAGCGUUAAUCGGAUUUACUGGGCGUAAAGCGCGCGUAGGUGGCUAAUUAAGUCAAAUGUGAAAUCCCCGAGCUUAACUUGGGGAUUGCAUUCGAUACUGGUUGGCUAGAGUAUGGGAGAGGAUGGUAGAAUUCCAGGUGUAGCGGUGAAAUGCGUAGAGAUCUGGAGGAAUACCGAUGGCGAAGGCAGCCAUCUGGCCUAAUACUGACACUGAGGUGCGAAAGCAUGGGGAGCAAACAGGAUUAGAUACCCGUGUAGUCC
rnacentral:rRNA from 1 species